rnacentral:rRNA from 1 species
UGCCAGCCGCCGCGGUAAUACGGAGGGUCCAAGCGUUAUCCGGAUUUAUUGGGUUUAAAGGGUGCGCAGGCGGAACUUUAAGUCAGUGGUGAAAUCUUGCCGCUUAACGGUAAAAUUGCCAUUGAUACUGAAGUUCUUGAAUGUAGUUGAGGUAGGCGGAAUGUGUUGUGUAGCGGUGAAAUGCAUAGAUAUGACACAGAACGCCAAUUGCGAAGGCAGCUCACUAAGCUACGAUUGACGCUGAGGCACGAAAGCGUGGGGAGCGAACAGGAUUAGAUA